GGAAUCUGGUCUGGACUUCAAACUUACACAGUAAAGAAAAAAGGGAAUUGGGGGCAUGCCUAGAACAUGCAAUUCUCAGCAAUGGUGCUGCCCUAGAGACAAAACUUUAUAAAACAUACAGGUUAAGGAACAGCUUGCACAUAAAAAUGACAUUCUAAAAAUGUAUAAGACUACUUAAAAUCACCUGUCUCAGCAAAUAAAUAU